rnacentral:rRNA from 1 species
GACGUAGGGCGCGAGCGUUUGUCCGGAUUUAUUGGGCGUAAAGAGCUCGUAGGCGGCUUGUCGCGUCGUCCGUGAAAACCCACAGCUCAACUGUGGGCUUGCGGUCGAUACGGGCAGGCUAGAGUUCGGUAGGGGAGACUGGAAUUCCUGGUGUAGCGGUGAAAUGCGUAGAUAUCAGGAGGAACACCGGUGGUGUAGACGGCUUACUGGACCACGACUGACACUGAGGCACGAAAAGCGUGGGUAGCAAACAGG